rnacentral:lncRNA from 1 species
GGAGGGUGGGUAUUUUCAAAAUACUUCUCUCUGUAUUGUAAUUACACGUCUGUUCACUUGCAGCUCAAAGUUAAAAAGAAUGCUAACGUCAAAUUGACGUCACCACUAUACAUCUUAUCGACUACAUAUGAAUUUAUAAAGGAAAGCACUGCAACGGACGAGAUUAAAACUUUCCACUAGAAUAACCGAAUUUAUGUAUAUUACAUAAAUUCUAUUAUUCGAGAUGGCUUGUAAAACUAAGAUUUAUUGGCAGUAUUGAC